AUAUCUUUAUAUAAAGGAAUUUAGAAAAAAAGAUAGAUAUAAAAUAGAUGAAAAAUCAACGUCUUCUUCGUUAGUAUGUACAUAAGUUUUAAGUUUCAUCAAUGACAAUUUCAUAUAUUACAUAUAUAUGAAACAUUUCGCAAUAAUUUUUCUUACAAUAAAUAAUCCCGACCAUGUUGAUGUCAUUUAAGUUUAAUAAUAUUUAUAAACUAAGAUGAUGAUCGAAAAGUUUAAAGAGAAUUGAUUUAAUCAAAGGAUGAUCGAGCUAUAGAUAAAUGUCCCUGAUAACUAGUAUCAAGAGACAAAAGCACGUAAUUAGUACAAAACGGAUUAGUAGCUACGAUCGGCAUGAGAUCGAUCUAUGAAAGUUCGAUCAGCUGAUCGCGCUAGUAAACUCGUAGUUACCUCAAAAUAUCAGCAAUAUCUUUGCGUCAUCCAUUGUAGCUGUUGCAAUUAUUUUUCCUACGGUUACAUCAUGGACGUAAUCGUGCGAUAGAAAAAUUACUACAGUCGUAGUUUCCUAGCCAAAAUCAUAUUACGUGGCCAUUAAAAAGUAGCAAUAAAGAAGUAUAAAUAUUGAUCAAUAUCUUUUGAAAUACUUGUCUCGUGCCUGUAAAUAACAUAAUUGUCCCUAUAUCAACUCGUGUAUGCGUACAUACAUACAUACAUACAUAAGUACAUAUAUUUACAGCAAAGAAAAUAAAUAUACAUAACUGCCUUACGAGAAAAAAUCUUUGUUCAUAGAAUUUCUGUUUUCAAUGCGAUACAUUUAUAUCAGAUAUUAAAUCAUAAUUUUAUUACAUAAAAAAUAAAAAAAGAAUAAAAAAAAACAUAUUUAUAUCAAUCGCCGUAUUUCUGUAUUCGUUUAUUUUGUAAUGAAUUCGUGCGUAAUCGAUAAGACUUAGUAGUUUUCUUAAGUAGUUAUAUAGCGUUAGGAUCAACUUGGAUAUAACAUCUAUCAGUAUUUCAAGCGACAGGUGGCCAUAUGAAUCCUACUUGAUUCAUAAUCGCUCGACGAAUUUUGGAUCUUCUGAAACAAAACAACAAUGUAAGAGAAAGGGUAGGAAAGAAGGGGUGGGAGAGAGAUAGAGAGAAUACACGAGAGCACACACCCUCUUCGCCACAAUAUACAUCACGUUAUAACGCCGGAAAUUCGGUGGUCGCGAGUUAAUUACGUCACGUGAGACUAUUAAUGCCUUGGCAGAUCUAACACCGCGUUACAUACAAUGGCACGGUUGUGUUUAGGUUCUCUUACCCAUAUAUUAACGUCGCGACCCAUGCCAACCCUCGUUACUUGAGACGUUAUAAUUAAGACCGUCCGCUUCGACCAUCUCGGACAUAGCGAUUUGCAACUUUGGAAUUUGACUUUGUUCGUACAAGCGCGCUCUAUCGUAUUUGUCUGUGACCUUGUAUUAACGAUUACUCUUGAGAAUGAAAUGUCAUUUUGAAUGAAACGAUUAAUGAAAUUCAUUAUAAUCAUUACAUUUAAACGAACGAGUGCUUAAGAUAUUUUUGUUAAGUGUGCACUCUUAAGAGUGCUUAAGAUGUAUUUGUUAAGACAUUUGUUGGAAUGUUCAAAGUAUGUACGAAGAUGAAGGAAUAAGAGUCUCUCCAUCUGCAUUUAGGUCGUUAUUACAUCAAGACGCGCUUAAUUAGCUCCUGGCAAGGCGGAAAGUGUUGCGCGUUUGAACCUCUACUGCUCGCAAGUCCGUAAUAAUAAUAUAACCUCGUAUCUUCAUAAUGCGGAAAACACUUUUCAACGUGGCUAGCGUAGAAGUGAAGCGGUAUACGAAAAGGGAUGUUGAAACGGGAAUGGGGUGGGCUGGAUUCUUCGUCGUUUAAAUACUACACCGGGUGUACUGCUCGUAAAUUAUUUCUUUAAUCUGUGAAAAGUAGAACAUAGUUAGUAGUAAGAAUCAAAGUGCUUACUAACGAAUACACUGUUAAGAUACAACUUUAUAUUAUUUUUUAUUUCUUUUUUUUUUUUUUUUUUCGUACAGUGAUUUAUCCUAUAAUUUGUAGAUACAUCAAAAGAAUUGUCCGUCACGUUUAAUCACGGAAGAGAAUUUCCUCAGGUAAAAUAAUUAUUUUUUUGGAAUGUACUUAACGAACAAGUUCCAACAAUCGAAGAUCAUUCUUUGGGGUUCUAUAAGAUCUGUCGAAAUAAAAAUUGCGAUAACAUUGUU